rnacentral:rRNA from 1 species
CUACGGGCUGCAGCGGUGAGGAAUAUUGCACAAUGGGGGGAAGAUGGAGGCAGCAACGCCGCGUGGAGGAGGACGCCUUUCUUUUCGUAAACUCCUUUGAGAGGGAAAGAAAAUGACGGUAGCAUAUGAAUAAGCACCGGCUAACUCCGUGCCAGCAGCCGCGGUAAUACGGAGGGUGCAAGCGUUACUCGGAAUCACUGGGCGUAAAGGACGCGUAGGCGGGUUGGAAAGUCAGGUGUGAAAUCCUACAGCUUAACUGUAGAACUGCACUUGAAACUUCUAAUCUAGAGUAUGGGAGGGGGAGAUGGAAUUAGUGGUGUAGGGGUAAAAUCCGUAGAUAUCACUAGGAAUACCUAAAGCGAAGGCGAUCUCCUGGAACAUUACUGACGCUAAGGCGUGAAAGCGUGGGGAGCAAACAGGAUUAGAUACCCCGGUAGUC